GGCUGACUCCAUGCCAGCUGCAUUGAGGAAGUGUUGUAGGAUGGGGAAUUAAGGCCAGUUCCCGGACAUCGUCAAGAGACAAAGACCCUUCCUGGGGAAACAUCAGGUUGGCACUCAAGACUUCCCCAAAGGCAAUCACCUUUGUCUGGCAUGCAGUACCCUGGACUCUGUCUCAAUUAUCCAAUCAAGCCUUUCCUGGACACUCCUGGAUGGCCCUUUAUCUCCACCAUGGUUCCAUAACCCUUGAAUGAAGCAACUGUUAUCCACCUGUCUACACUGACGCCAAUCUCGUGCCAUCAGCAUCUUCCCCUUCCCCUUCCUUGUGCCUUGCGCCUAUGAGGUAUUACUUA
rnacentral:lncRNA from 11 species